UACGUAGGGUGCAAGCGUUGUCCGGAAUUAUUGGGCGUAAAGAGCUCGUAGGCGGUUUGUUGCGUCGGCUGUGAAAUCCCGAGGCUCAACCUCGGGUCUGCAGUCGAUACGAGCAAACUAGAGUGUUGCAGGGGAGACUGGAAUUCCGGGUGUAGCGGUGAAAUGCGCAGAUAUCAGGAGGAACACCGGUGGCGAAGGCGGGUCUCUGGGCAACAACUGACGCUGAGGAGCGAAAGCGUGGGGAGCGAACAGG
rnacentral:rRNA from 1 species